rnacentral:rRNA from 1 species
CCUACGGGUGGCAGCAGUGAGGAAUAUUGGUCAAUGGACGAGAGUCUGAACCAGCCAAGUAGCGUGAAGGAUGACUGCCCUAUGGGUUGUAAACUUCUUUUAUAUGGGAAUAAAAUGUUCCACGUGUGGGAUUUUGUAUGUACCAUAUGAAUAAGGAUAGGCUAACUCCGUGCCAGCAGCCGCGGUAAUACGGAGGAUCCGAGCGUUGUCCGGAUUUAUUGGGUUUAAAGGGAGCGUAGGUGGAUUGUUAAGUCAGUUGUGAAAGUUUGCGGCUCAACCGUAAAAUUGCAGUUGAAACUGGCAGUCUUGAGUACAGUAGAGGUGGGCGGAAUUCGUGGUGUAGCGGUGAAAUGCUUAGAUAUCACGAAGAACUCCGAUUGCGAAGGCAGUUCACUGGACUGCAACUGACACUGAGGCUCGAAAGUGUGGGUAUCAAACAGGAUUAGAUACCCCUGUAGUC